GCUGAGGAUUCCAGACUUGUUCUGGAGCCGAGUUGGGUUAAAGGAAGCUUCUAAUCCUAAAGUCUAUUUUUUGAUUAGAUCUCAAAUCAGGUAGGACUACCCGCUGAACUUAAGCAUAUCAAUAAGCGGAGGAAAAGAAACUAACAAGGAUUCCCCUAGUAGCGGCGAGCGAAGCGGGAAGAGCUCAAAUUUAUAAUCUGGCACCUUCGGUGUCCGAGUUGUAAUCUCUAGAAGUGUUUUCCGCGUUGGACCGCACACAAGUCUGUUGGAAUACAGCGGCAUAGUGGUGAAACCCCCGUAUAUGGUGCGGACGCCCAGCGCUUUGUGAUACACUUUCAAUGAGUCGAGUUGUUUGGGAAUGCAGCUCAAAUUGGGUGGUAAAUUCCAUCUAAAGCUAAAUAUUGGCGAGAGACCGAUAGCGAACAAGUACCGUGAGGGAAAGAUGAAAAGCACUUUGGAAAGAGAGUUAACAGUACGUGAAAUUGUUGGAAGGGAAACGCUUGAAGUCAGACUUGCUUGCCGGAGCUUGCUUCGGUUUGCAGGCCAGCAUCAGUUUUCCGGGGUGGAUAAUGACGGUUUGAAGGUAGCAGUCUCGGCUGUGUUAUAGCUUUCCGUUGGAUACGCCCUGGGGGACUGAGGAACGCAGCGUGCUUUUUGCGAAAGACUCGUCUUUUUCACGCUUAGGAUGCUGGUGGAAUGGCUUUAAACG
rnacentral:rRNA from 1 species